rnacentral:rRNA from 1 species
ACGAACGCUGGCGGCGUGCUUAACACAUGCAAGUCGAACGGUGAAGCGCCUUCCUUUUUGGUGGGUGUGGAUGAGUGGCGAACGGGUGAGUAACACGUGAGUAACCUGCCCCCUUCUUCUGGAUAACCGCAUGAAAGUGUGGCUAAUACGGGAUAUUCUGGGUCUGUCGCAUGAUGGGUCUGGGAAAGAUAUUGUUUCGGUGGGGGAUGGGCUCGCGGCCUAUCAGCUUGUUGGUGGGGUGAUGGCCUACCAAGGCGGUGACGGGUAGCCGGCCUGAGAGGGUGGACGGUCACACUGGGACUGAGACACGGCCCAGACUCCUACGGGAGGCAGCAGUGGGGAAUAUUGCACGAUGGGCGCAAGCCUGAUGCAGCGACGCCGCGUGAGGGAUGGAGGCCUUCGGGUUGUGAACCUCUUUCGCCAGUGAAGCAGGCCUGCCUCGUUUGUGGGUGGGUUGACGGUAGCUGGAUAAGAAGCGCCGGCUAACUACGUG